UACGGGGGGGGCAAGCGUUGUUCGGAAUUACUGGGCGUAAAGGGCUCGUAGGUGGCCAACUAAGUCAGACGUGAAAUCCCUCGGCUUAACCGGGGAACUGCGUCUGAUACUGGAUGGCUUGAGUUCGGGAGAGGGAUGCGGAAUUCCAGGUGUAGCGGUGAAAUGCGUAGAUAUCAAGCGGAACACCGGUGGCGAAGGCGGCCUUCUGGACAGUGACUGACGCUGAGACGCGAAAGCGUGGGGAGCAAACAGG
rnacentral:rRNA from 1 species